AUAAAACCCAGCACCACCACGCGACCCCGUCCCAUCCCAAUUCCCAAACGGGAACUCAGUCGGGUGUGAUGGAGGAAGAGGGAGGUGGAUUCAGGCUGAGCAAGAGAUUCUCUGAUAAAGGAGGUGAAGUAGACUACAAAACUAAAGCUGGCACUGCUUGGUCUCACAAUUUCCUUAACCAGAAGCCAUGGCACCCUCUCUCUUACCCAAACCAACGUCGCAAGUGGAUUGCCGAACAGACUCAUGCCCAGAGAGAGCAACGUGCUAACGAAAUUGCCCGCGAGUAUGCUCAAGAACAGGAGUAUUUUCGUCAGACUGCUCUUGUCUCCAAGAAAGAGAAAGAGAAGAUGGAGAUGAUGAAAGCUGUUAGCUUUAUGUAUGUGCGACCGCCUGGUUACAAUCCGGAAAGUGCAAAAGCUGCAGAGAUUGCUGACGAAGCACAAAAACAGGGGCAUGUUGGCACUUCUCAAGAAACAUCUGCAGCAGGGGCCUCCAUUUCUGGGAGACCUGAAGUGCCACCUGUUCAGGAGAAAAAGAAACCAAGGCCAAAGGAUGUUUUUGGCCGUCUUUUGCCAACAGAAGAAGAAUUUGAAGUGCUUAAAAAUGCUCCAAGGUUGGAAACAGGUGUUGCUGGAAGGGCCAAACCAUUUGGAAUUGAGAUACGUAAUGUCAAAUGCGUCAGAUGUGGAGCCUUUGGCCAUCAGAGUGGCGAUCGUGAAUGUCCAUUGAAAGAUGCUAUUAUGCCAAAUGAAGAGAGUCGAAUAAAAAGAGAUGAUCCUUUAACUGCUAUCCUGGCUCAGACAGAUGCUUCUGAGCCUUUGAAGUGGGAGCUCAAGCAGAAGCCUGGACUCAGUCCUCCACGUGGUGGGUUCAAUCUUGAUGAUCCUAACCAACAAAUAGUUGCUGAGGACAUAUUUGAUGAGUACGGAGGAUUUCUUACUGGGGAUAAUGUACCUGAUUUGCUGGCCAGCUUAUCAAGCAAACCAAAGAAGAAAAAGAAGUCCAGUAAAAGCGAGAACAGAAAGCGGUCUUCACCAGCUAGACCAGAUUUACGUGAUCACGAAGAAAUUACUUCAUCUUCGAAUGAUGAUGAUAGAGGAAGAACACCAAAGAAGAAAAAGCAUAAGAAGAAGUCUCGAAAGCGUUCUGUGUCUUCAGAGGACUCUGAUAGGCAUCGGAAAUGGAGUAGUAACAGACAGAGACAUUCACUGUCAACUAGCGGAAAGCAUUCAGAGUCAAGUUCAGAGGACGACGAUAAUGACAGGCAUCGGAAAAGGAGUAACAGACAACACAGACAGAGACAUUCACUGUCAACUAGCGGAAAGCAUUCAGAGUCAAGUUCAGAGGACGACGAUAAUGACAGGCAUCGGAAAAGGAGUAACAGACAACACAGACAGAGACAUUCACUGUCAACUAGCGGAAAGCAUUCAGAGUCAAGUUCAGAGGACGACGAUAAUGACAGGCAUCGGAAAAGGAGUAACAGACAACACAGACAGAGACAUUCACUGUCAACUAGCGGAAAGCAUUCAGAGUCAAGUUCAGAGGACGACGAUAAUGACAGGCAUCGGAAAAGGAGUAACAGACAACACAGACAGAGACAUUCACUGUCAACUAGCAGAAAGCAUUCAGAGUCAAGUUCAGAGGACGACGAUAAUGACAGGCAUCGGAAAAGGAGUAACAGACAACACAAGAAGAAGAAUCAUAAUGAGUCAAGUAGGGGAAAGCAUUCUGAGUCAAGUUCAGAGGACGAUAAUAAUAACAGGCAUCGGAAAAGGAAUAACAGACACAGACAUUCACGGUCAAGUUCACCUGUGCCUGAAGAUAAGGAACACAGGAAGAAACAGUAUUCUGAGUCAAGUAGGGGAAAGCAUUCUGAGUCAAGUUCAGAGGACGAUGAUAAUGACCGGCAUCGGAAAAGGAGUAACAGACACAGACGUUCACGGUCAAGUUCACCCGAGCCUGAAGAUAAGGAACGCAGGAAGAAGAAUCGUCACUACCGUCAUCAUCACAGUCGGCACAAUCAUUCUGAUUAUUCAUGACAAUGAAGUUAUAUCAUCUAGCUGUUGCCUCCUAUAGAAGAGCUCCAAAACCCACUAGUGAUGCAAAAGCAGUAAAAGGAAAAAUGGGCUACGAUUGGGCAAGUAUAGAACCCGGAACACGGGACGAAGAAGUUGAGGAAGGCGGGACAUGCCAGGUGGCUAGGACGGAGACCGACAGUUCGAGGUGUGGCGAUGAACCUGGUGGAUCAUCCACAUGGGGGUGGUGAAGGGAGGAGUAAGAGUAGUGGAAGUCAUGGCAGGGUUUCGUUGACUCCUUGGGGUAAACCUACUAAAUCUGGGUAUAAAACUGGGCCUCUUAAGAGAAAAAAGUAGGUCUCUUUUGGGUAAUUUGAUGGAUAUUUGUUUGUUUAAGAUUAUUAUGUUUUUGGAUGAAGUUACGGCGAGAUAAUAAUAUUAGCAAAUCA